UGAUAGAGGUUGCGUACUUUAUGAGUAGUUUUCCGGAUGUGGCAGGCACAAAAGAAGGAGAAUGAAAGGAAAGCGCGCCGAAAGGGUAUAAUUCCUGCGGUUAUGCCUUUGGGCGUAAGGUGAAGAAUCUUACGACUGUCAUCUUGGGUUUCGUUUACGGCGGAGAAGAUGGGGCGCUAUCGGA
rnacentral:ncRNA from 1 species